ACGAGCGCCCGCCCCUCCCCGCGCGCCUCCCCUCCGACCAGCGCCCGCCCCUCCCCGUGCGCCUCCCCUCUGACGGGCACCGGCCCCUGCCCGCACGCCUCCCCUCCGACGGGCGCCGGGCCCUUCCCGCGCGCCUCCCCUCCGAUGGGCGCCGGGCCCUUCCAGCGUGCCUUCCCGCCGAGGGUUGUUGGCCUCUCCCACUCUGCCUCCUCUCCAAUGGUGCCACGACGCCACCUUGUACAGGCAGCUCAUCGCCACACCCCUGUCCGUUCAAUGUCGCCGCCAACGCGUACAGGCAGUUCGCCGCCGCCAUCCCUGUCCGUUCAAUGUCCCCGCCACUGCGUACAAGCAGUUCGCAGCCGCCAUCCCUGUCCGUUCAAUGUCGCCGCCGUGGACGCGUCCUGCUCCAAGGCCAUGGCUUAUGCUUCAGCGGCAAAAAGUGGAGCCUGCUGGAGGAAUCGCGGGGUCGAGGACCUCCAGCUCAACAGUCCAACUGCUUCCUUUAUGGCCGGUCGCUCAAGGAGCUGAGUGCAAGCCGCUCCUUGCUGCAAGCUGCUGCUGCACCUAGGACUGCCCGACACAGUCGCAUCCUUUUCUGCUGCUGCUGAUGCAUGUCCACUACUAAGCAGCUACCAAUUGCUGCUAUUGUUACCUCUAUUUUCUAUCUGAAGUUUAGUUUAGUGCGGUGACUAGCAAAGGUACAGAGGUACUGAAGGUUGAUUUGAGCAUAACCCUUACUCUCUGAAAAUUUGGCAAUAGUUCGAUGAAAUGGUUUACCUCAGUACAAAAGUAUGGGUACCCAACCAAUUUUUGAACAAUGUGUCUACUUUCUGCAGGUCCUUGUUGGGAUGACAGGGAUGACUAGAAUGCUCAGAGAAACAUCUUUACUUGACCCAGAUCUUUCAUUGCUUGUCUUCAGUCACCUAAAUAAGUUCAAGAAAAAUCUGUAAGUUUGGUGCGUGUGCUGCUACAAAUCUAAACUUCUUAUCCAGUAAUUCUAGUACUUAUGAGCAUCGAGUUGAUUGAAAUCAUGUUCUCCUAGUUGGUUUCUGAGAACCUUGCUGGCCCUUCUAUAUAUAGAAGUUGUGCCUGAUAGCCAUACAUGACUUUUGUGUAUGACAAAUAAUGCAAGGAAAUUCUGAAUACAUGGCACGGGCGCUCUUCGACAUUAAACAUUUGUAUGUUAUUUAUUUGUGCAACAAGUCUAUGCUUCUUCAGUUCUAAAAUUCCCAGAGCAUCAGUGCAACUACAUAUCAGGCUAUACUAUGUUGAUUCUAUAAUUUUCCGUAUGCUGGUAUAUACAAAAAUAAGGUAUAUUUACUGCUUCAUUUUCUUGUGGAGCGAAUGUUGUAUAUUUACUACUUCAUUUUCUUUGCCGCCACUUAGGUCCGACGAGCCACCGUAGGCAGGAUCCUCUGCGUGCUAGCCUUGGUGCUGGCCCUACACGUUGGCACGACAUCGUUCACUGAUUCCACCAAGGGCUGUUCAAUGACACAAUGUCGAGUCGUUCGACACUGCAGCUCAGGAGUUUGCCUCCUUUCCUAACCUCCACUAUGCUCUAGCUAAGGUCUCUCAUGUUCUCCUCUCUCCCAUAACCUUUGUCUGUUCUUUCACUUGAAUUCCUGCUAAUGUUAGCUGUAGCUUGAAUUGCUAAAAUAUUAAUGUAUUUUUACUCUGCUUGAAAAUGCUUGAAAUGCUGCUGAUGCUUCUCUAUGCGUGACGAUUCUGAUUGUUUAGCACAAAGGGGGACGGGUACUUGUUGUAAUGCUUGACAUCAAUCUAUUGUCGGCAGUUAGAGAAAGAAUUGUAGCAAGUCCAAGCUCUCUUUGAGUGGAGAAUAAAAACAUGAUGUAUGCAUUGCUUCUUGGCCCAGCUGAGAGAACACUCAUGUUAAAAAGUAGAAAGCAGUUUUGAAGCAAUUCCCAGUGUCUUUAGAAGCAUUCAUGGUUAAAAAGCAACGACGACAACCUCCUCAUUCGAGCUGAGCACUGGUCAUAGUCCAAGUUGAGCAGUAGGUGCCGUCCAAGUUUAAAGAGGGUUGUAUGCAAGUACAGAAGUUUGUUUGAGUGAGAAAAAAUGUGGGGUUUUGACAAUAUUCUAUAUGAUUAAUUUUUUCAUCCUUAGAACUUGGCAAAAUUCAGUCUAUUUUUCUAUGAUGGAGGCACACAUGAAGUCCUGUGCAAUGGUUA